UUUCCGUGAUUUGAACUACAUACUUUAAUUUCUUAUUUUUCGCCUUCAUUUUGUAGAUGUUUUAGUUUAUGAAUCCUCUUGUAUUUUAUCUUAGUCUUUGCCGAAAAACUGAUUUUGUGAAGGAAACAGCUAAUUACGGUUAUUUUUGUUUGAUUGUUUUCUAUUUUCAUUUACUUACUACACGAUGUGUGUGAAUUGAUCAAUUUUCAUGUAGUUACAUAAUUGCAAGACCAAGUGAUCAGAGCUAUUGUUAUAAGGUAAGCUAAAUUAAGAAACAUGUUUUAUUAAUUUUAACUCCCAAUUGUACGUAGUAAUUGGGGUUAAAAGAAGGAGGGUCUAAACCUGCGUAUAAUUAUAAUUAUGGCAAUUUCAUGUUUUUUUAGUAGUAAUUUCAUGUUAUUUACAUUUUAUUUUUUUAUUUUCGGAUUAACAUUUAUUUAUUUUAAAAGUGAAUCUUUGAUUCUGCUAAAAAUGGGUAUUUGGCAUAAGCAGUUUGCACUAAGGCUUUUUUGUUUUUUUUUGUAAAGGUAAAGCAUCAAUGUAGCCAUUCAGUAUACACUGUAUUUUGUUCAUCGUCGAGGUAUUUUAAGCAGUCUUUAUUUAUUAUGUAGAAUGUAUUUUUUUUUCUUUUUGGUGAAUGCAUGCAUGGUGUUUUUUUCAAAAAAAAGGUGAAUGUAUGCAUGUUGAUGUUGUAUAUAUAUAUGUAAAAGCCAUUAUUCACUGCAAAUAGGCCGUUGAUAUCUUAUUUAGCGUUGGGUACGUAAUGUGUCCUGGUCACGGAAUUAGUUCAAGAAAUUGUAUCCAGUCGGAACAUGUAUUUGUACAAUAUCAUUUAUACAACUAUACUAACAUUUAAUAAAUUUAUGAAAGUUCAAGAAGCAAUAAUUAUGUACUAUCCAUGUACUCAUAUAUGAGAUUCAAAUAGAGUUUAAUUUAAAAAUCCCUUCUACUUAAAUUCAUAAGACGUAUAUUAUAUUUUUAUGCAUGUUAAGUAAGUAAAACUGAAGUAAUUGAAAUAUUUUCCAUAACUUACUUUUUAAUAUAAUAUAUUAUCUGAUGCAGCGAGUUUAAGACCUUUUGAAAAUGCAGUUUGGAGAACUUUUUUUUCACGUAUAAUUAGUAUGAAAAAAUUUAAAUUAUUGUAAAAGUUAAUAUUUCGUCUAAAAAAGGUUGAUUAUUGGGCUACGAAUACGAUUACAAAUUAAUAUUUCGUUUAAAAAUCGUAAAAAGUUUAAACCAUCAGCAAAAUCAGUUGUGGGUUGUGAGCACUAGUUGUGAGUGUGUUGAGUUGACCAAAAGGAAAAGAAAAGGUGAUGUUUUAAAAAAAAAAAAAAAAUGGGUAAAAAUAAAACUGUAAAAGAUAGAGCCGACAAAGAAAAAGAAAAAAUAAGCGACGGUAAAUGGUAAAGUACCGUAGGUAAGAAAAAAAAGGAAACUCGAUAAUCCCGUAAAAUAGAGAAAAAAAACAGAGACGGCUAGAAAAAAAAAAACUGGUAUGCGACGAGGAGAAGUCGCCGACGGAAGCGAGAAGCUAAGGCCGUAGUUACGCGGGACGGUAUUAGUCUCCCGAGACGUUGAUUAGUCUCCUCCGGAGAGGAUACUUAUGUGAUCUUUUGUAAGAUUCUUAGGUAGACUGUGUAGACUUGCAAAAGACAGCCUUUUGACAUCUUUGUUCACUGUCACACGAUGAAUCACGCUCUUGUAUAUCCCGUUGCUCAUCACUUCUACUUGAUCUCCCAGCUGAACUAUCAAAGCUCCUUCAAUGUAUGGUACGCUGACCCAAGCUUUGUUGCAAUCCAUUAUCUGGAGACCCUGGCUACUUUGGAGUAAGAUGGUCAGUGAGCUGAAGUCUGAGUGUGGUGGCAUUCCCAAUGCGAUUUCGGGUUCUGGACAUGUUGGAUAGCAGUUCACUGCCAUGACUUGUGACCCUUCUUCAAUCUCUUCUUGUAACAUGGAGGAUUUGAUGGCCACAUAUCGAUCCACUUUGGGAGUGGAUGAGAGUAAUGCUUGAUGAAAUCUCUCCAGUAGUGAACACUGUCUGUUGAAUGGUUAAGGCUUGUGCCGUACCUUACUGGCUCAUGAACAUUCGCAGACACAAG